CUGCGUCAAAGGACAACGGUCGAUGGCGCGGCGGCUGAAGAAGGGAGCGUAUAUCCAAUAUAAGAAGAGAACAAAAUAGGUUUAUGUCGGAUACUUUGACCAUUCGCCCGUAAAGUAACUUCGCUCUACGACUGACGCCCGCAGCCUCAUAUGUUAUAUUAUAUCCUUAUCCUAUCUAUACGAUAAAAUAUUACAUCUCCGAUGUUCUUCCGGGGAUAAAAUCCUGUUAGGUAUUACAUUAUUAUGUUAUUUUUGAGGAAAGUAAGGUAAGGAUUUAUGUCAUUUUGACGAAGGUAAGGUUGCGGUACCAAGGUGCUGGAAUAGCGACCCCGCACCGGGAAGCGCAGUGUUGGUCGACACCCCACUAGGUGGACUGAGACAUCAAGCGGGUUGCAGGGAGCCGCUGAAUGCUGGCAGCUCAAGACCGUGUUGUUUGGAUGUCCAUUUAGGAGGCCUAGUUUAUGAUCAGCUACGUUUUACUUUGCAUAGACGCAGGGAGCCACGAGCAGCCCAUGGUGAAAAGAGAUUGCCUAGAAGACACCCAUGUUUUAGGUGGUAGGGAAAAGGGAAGUUGGAAAGGGCAUUCCAUAACUUCGCAGUGCGAAUUAGGAACGAUGAGCAGAAACGCUUCGUACAAGUCCAAGAAACAUCAACCACGUAUAGAUGCAGAACUCUACUAUGCCUGCGUUCUAUGGUAAAAAGGGAGACCUGACACCUACGGUACCUACGUACGUUCAUAUCGGAAAUAAUUAUUAUACACCUAUAAAUGGAAUUCCUCGUCUAACAGACCCAUCAACAGUAAAUAACAGUAAAGAAUUCACUGUAUAUGAAACUUUUUAAAACUGCACAUCG